GCAUUUGGUAGAAAUUGCAUGAACAUUAUUUUAUUUAAAAAAUACUUUCCAAGGGAAUUCACAAUCAGCUAAAAUACAGCCUCAAAUAUAAGCAUGUACAUUUUUAAUGUGUCAUACAUACACAACAGUUAUUUACUGCUACUUCAGAGAAUUCCAUAAGGUUAAACAACUCUAAAUAAGAUGACAGGCUUAUUAUUCAAAUGUAUUAAAUGUCCUCAAAUCAACUUGUCUAAAAUAUAUUUAAUUUUAUGCUUCAAUCUAUUCACUUUAGUUGCUUCAGCACAGAUUCUUGGGGGUCUUUUAGUAAAUUUAAUCUCAAUUUNNNNNNNNNNNNNNNNNNNNNNNNNNUGAAAUGUUAAUAUGCAAAUGAAUAUUUUUCUGUAAGGCCACAGUAUCAUUAAAGAGAACAAAUAUGAUGUGAUUUUUAAAUCCUCUACUAUAAAUAAAAAUAUGAAGCCUUAUGUCACUGACAUUUAUUUUAGUCUUUGUUCUAUUUUAUUUGCAUAUUUUAAUCAAGUAGUCAUAGACAAAAGGGUGUACACUGAUAUGAAAGUUAAUUUAGCAGCCGGGUUGUAUGAGGGUUACCUUACUAGGUAGCCUAGAUAAUGAAGAUGGCCGGUGGCAAUUGGCCUGUUCCUUGGCAGUGUUCUUUCAUAGUCUUUGUGUUGCUGGUGGUGAGUGAAAGACGUUUGUGUUGAGCAAAGUCUGACUCCAGCUGUGUGACCCAGCUCAGGGCCAUGGAAACUCAACCUCGUCCUUCUCUCUGCCAGAGUAUCUCAGUUUAGAACAAAUGGCCUGGAAAGUUUCCGUCUAGUUGCUUCUGCCACCCCCAACCCUGUCCUACCUGGAUUUUGAGGUCAAAAAACAGGCCAGUUUAUGUAGUGAGCUCAUCCCCCUAAAGGUGAAGGGAGUUACACAUACCGCUUUUGAGAACACAGGAUUAGCUUGGAAGCUCACUGAGUUUAGCUACUACCCUGCACCAAUGUUUCAGAUUCAGCUUUUAUUGAUUCUCUCUUAUGAAACAUUAUGGGAAGAGGUAGAAUUCAGCUAUGGGUGGUGCAGGUCAUUUAUUUCAGGCUUUCUAUCUAGCAGCUUUCUUUUUUUUUUUUUUUUAAUUUCCCUUAUUUAUCUCCCUCCCCUGCAAAGGGAAAGGAACAUAGGUUUGCUUGUGAAAACAUUUAACUCCUUAUACACUGUGUUUCAUUGGCAGAUAAUAAUGAAUGUCAAGAGCUAUGAACAAAGAGAGGUCCUUUGGACCAAGGUUGAGGCAGCUGAAGACAAGAUUUCUCGAGCAAGGGGUUUUCUCAGGGGAUUAAGGGAUGGUGCUAACAAGAACUAA
rnacentral:lncRNA from 1 species